rnacentral:rRNA from 1 species
GAUGAACGCUAGCGGCAGGCCUAACACAUGCAAGUCGAGGGGCAGCACAGAAACAGCAAUGUUUUGGUGGCGACCGGCGGACGGGUGCGUAACGCGUAUGCAACCUACCUUUAACAGGGGGAUAACGGAGAGAAAUUUCCACUAAUACCCCAUAACAUCGAUCAAGGCAUCUUGAUUGGUUGAAAACUCCGGUGGUUAAAGAUGGGCAUGCGUUGUAUUAGGUAGUUGGUGAGGUAAUGGCUCACCAAGCCUACGAUACAUAGGGGGACUGACAGGUUAGCCCCCCACACUGGUACUGAGACACGGGCCAGACUCCUACGGGAGGCAGCAGUGAGGAAUAUUGGUCAAUGGGGGCAACCCUGAACCAGCCAUGCCGCGUGCAGGAAGACGGCUGUAUGAGUUGUAAACUGCUUUUAAACAGGGAUAAAGCACAGUAUGUAUACUGUGUUGAAGGUACUGUAAGAAUAAGGAUCGGCUAACUCCGUGCCAGCCGCCGCAGUAA